rnacentral:rRNA from 1 species
UACAGAGGGUGCGAGCGUUAAUCGGAAUUACUGGGCGUAAAGGGUGCGUAGGUGGUUUGAUAAGUCAGAUGUGAAAUUCCCGGGCUUAACCUGGGGACUGCGUCUGAUACUGUGAAGCUAGAGUACUGUAGAGGGAAGUGGAAUUUCCGGUGUAGCAGUGAAAUGCGUAGAUAUCGGAAGGAACAUCAGUGGCGAAGGCGGCCCGCUGGGCAGGAAGACCCCUCACGGGUCGGCUGACGCUGAGGCGCGACAGCGUGGGGAGCAAACAGG